CGCCUGUUUAACAAAAACAUCUCCUAAUUUCCAUUAGGUAGAACCUGCUCACUGAAUUUUUUAAAAGCCGCAGUAUCCUAACUGUGCUAAGGUAGCAUAAUCAUUUGUUAUCUAAAUGAUAACUAGUAUGAAUGGUCUGACGAGAAAAUAACUUUCUAAAAAGAAAUAAUAAAAAUUUAUAUUAAAGUAAAAAAGCUUUAAAAACUUAGAAAGACGAGAAGACCCUAGAACCUGUCUAUCUGCAUAGUUUGUUGGGGUGACAUUUUUUUAAAACAAAUAACUAUUUUAACUCAUUAAGAGACUUAACCUAUCUUUUAAAAAAAAAGAAAAAGGUACU
rnacentral:rRNA from 1 species